rnacentral:tRNA from 1 species
UUUUCACUAGUUUAUCUAAAACAAUGUUCUUUCGAAACAUAGAUCUCUCUUAAGGAGGUGAAAAA